AUUUAGAUAGUUUAAUUAAAAUAUUGAUUUGUGAUUUCAAAGUUAUAAAAUUUUAUUCUAGAUA
rnacentral:tRNA from 1 species